GAUGAACGCUGGCGGCGUGCCUAAUACAUGCAAGUCGAGCGAACAGACGAGGAGCUUGCUCCUCUGACGUUAGCGGCGGACGGGUGAGUAACACGUGGAUAACCUACCUAUAAGACUGGGAUAACUUCGGGAAACCGGAGCUAAUACCGGAUAAUAUAUUGAACCGCAUGGUUCAAUAGUGAAAGACGGUUUUGCUGUCACUUAUAGAUGGAUCCGCGCCGCAUUAGCUAGUUGGUAAGGGAACGGCUUACCAAGGCAACGAUGCGUAGCCGACCUGAGAGGGUGACCGGCCACACUGGAACUGAGACACGGUCCAGACUCCUACGGGAGGCAGCGGUAGGGAAUCUUCCGCAAUGGGCGAAAGCCUAACGGAGCAACGCCGCGAGAGUGAUGAAGGUCUUCGCUUCGUAAAACGCUGUUAUUAGGGAAGAACAAAUGUGUAAGUAACUAUGCACGUCUUGACGGUACCUAAUCAGAAAGCCACGGCUAACUACGUG
rnacentral:rRNA from 1 species